CUCCAGCUCAGGUUCAGCAGCAGCAACCUCUCCCUCCACUCAGGAUUUCCACCUGGAUACAAGAUCCAGAAAUCCUGGACCCUCCCCAGUUCGGACUGCUCAGACCCCCGUAAACAAUAAAAUUGUUCUGUUUCAA